rnacentral:lncRNA from 1 species
UUUCCGUCUGCCUCUUGCCCCAGCUAGCUAACCCACAUUUGCCUCCGAAUAAACUGACCUGGCUUCCAAUGGUUCCUGUCGAUUCACCUGGACUCAAGGAUUUUAGAAUGCACCCACUCUGUUCAGUGAGGACUCCCAAAAAGACUUGUCUCUUCAACAGGUACAGGCUUCUGUCCAUGCCACCAUAGGCACUACCCUACCCUUACGUGGCUCUGUGCCCUGCCACCCAUUCCAGCAGGGUGACACCGUGCUCAUCAGGCCUCCCAAAAAGAGAAUCCUCCUACCAUGGAAGGGACCAUACUCUGUCAUCCUCAUCCUGCUUUACCUCAGACUCCUGAUGGGGCCCUGUGUUCUUAAUUAGAUAAUUAACUUUAUAAAACAGUGUAUAGCCUCAGUUAAACUGUUACACAUAAAAACUUACUAUAGUCCCCUACUCACUCAGGAGGCGAUGAAUCAAUGCUUUGACAGCAUUUUUAAGAGGAGCUGGGAAUGUGAUAGCCAACCUGACUCCACUUGUGUAAAGUCAAGUAAUUCCUGCAGGUCAUCUUUCCCUUCCCCCUUGUAAGUCCCCUCAGUUAAUGCACGACAGACUGCCACAUCCUAUGUGAGUUUGCACCUGUGUUAUUUUACCACAAACAGGAUGCUUUGCACCUGUGUGAUAUUUUAAUUAAACUGACCCCUGACCCCCACUAUUUGCAGCAUUCUGCUUCUGUGAAAUUUUGCUUGUGCUCCCCCUUUCCCUGAGCCCUCCCCAAAUAGAAGAGCCCUUAAAAGGCCCCUGUAA